AGCGAACGCUGGCGGCAGGCCUAACACAUGCAAGUCGAGCGCCCAGCAAUGGAAGCGGCAGACGGGUGAGUAACGCGUGGGGAUGUGCCCAAUGGUGCGGAAUAACCCAGGGAAACUUGGAUUAAUACCGCAUGUGCCCUUCGGGGGAAAGAUUUAUCGCCAUUGGAUCAACCCGCGUCUGAUUAGCUAGUUGGUGAGGUAAAGGCUCACCAAGGCGACGAUCAGUAGCUGGUCUGAGAGGAUGAUCAGCCACACUGGGACGGAGACACGGCCCAGACUCCUACGGGAGGCAGCAGUGGGGAAUAUUGGACAAUGGGCGCAAGCCUGAUCCAGCCAUGCCGCGUGAGUGAUGAAGGCCUUAGGGUUGUAAAGCUCUUUCGCCGGUGAAGAUAAUGACGGUAACCGGAGAAGAAGCCCCGGCUAACUUCGUGCCAGCCGCCGCAGUAAUAC
rnacentral:rRNA from 1 species